CACGAUUUGGAGCCUCUUGAGAUUCCUCGGGGCAUCCUCAGCAAUCUGGCUUUGGUUAUGGAAAGGAAUUCGGAAAGAGUCAAGGAGCAGGUGAAGCCUGGCCAGUGUCAGCCAGGGCCCAGACUUGGGGAAUUGAAGAUCUCCUCGGAUUCCUUGGCAGUCCAACCUCCCCUGACCCCACGGAGCAGCUUGGGUUCCUCGUUAAUAUCAGCGGAAUAGUGAGUCAGAUGAAGGGACCGGAAUGGGUGGCUUAUUUCGGUUCAGAGACACCCCCAGACUCCAGAGCAAGAGGAGGGGCUCGACUGGUCUUGCACGCGU